CUGAGGCUUCAGUGUGUUAGUAGAACAGGUUUGUGAAUUCAGCCCCAGGACCAGCUGGAUGAGGGGACUGAGGCUUCAGUGUGUUAGUAGAACAGGUUAGUGAACUCAGCCCCAGGACCAGCUGGAUGAGGGGACUGAGGCUUCAGUGUGUUAGUAGAACAGGUUAGUGAACUCAGCCCCAGGACCAGCUGGAUGAGGGGACUGAGGCUUCAGUGUGUUAGUAGAACAGGUUAGUGAACUCAGCCCCAGGACCAGCUGGAUGAGGGGACUGAGGCUUCAGUGUGUUAGUAGAACAGGUUAGUGAACUCAGCCCCAGGACCAGCUGGAUGAGGGGACUGAGGCUUCAGUGUGUUAGUAGAACAGGUUAGUGAACUCAGCCCCAGGACCAGCUGGAUGAGGGGACUGAGGCUUCAGUGUGUUAGUAGAACAGGUUAGUGAACUCAGGACCAGCUGGAUGAGGGGACUGAGGCUUCAGUGUGUUAGUAGAACAGGUUAGUGAACUCAGCCCCAGGACCAGCUGGAUGAGGGGACUGAGGCUUCAGUGUGUUAGUAGAACAGGUUAGUGAACUCAGGACCAGCUGGAUGAGGGGACUGAGGCUUCAGUGUGUUAGUAGAACAGGUUAGUGAACUCAGGACCAGCUGGAUGAGGGGACUGAGGCUUCAGUGUGUUAGUAGAACAGGUUUGUGAACUCAGGACCAGCUGGAUGAGGGGACUGAGGCUUCAGUGUGUUAGUAGAACAGGUUUGUGAACUCAGGACCAGCUGGAUGAGGGGACUGAGGCUUCAGUGUGUUAGUAGAACAGGUUUGUGAACUCAGGACCAGCAGGAUGAAGGAACUCCUUUGCUCAGCUCUUGGUAUUGCAGGGCUUGGUAAUGAUAUGAGCGGUGGUCAUUGUAUUUUGGAUGUUUCCAAAACUUUAAUUGCUCAUUGAGUUGUUAUUAUUAGUGGAUAUUGGCCUAAUUCUGUCCUGCAUCCAUUUUUUUAAGUUUUUGUUUGUAGGAGAAUGUUAAAGAACUCUGCAUGCAGGGUUUCAAUGGGGUGUUUGUAGUUU